UACGUAGGUGGCAAGCGUUGUCCGGAUUUACUGGGCGUAAAGAGCGCGCAGGCGGUCGAAUAAGUCGAAUGUGAAAGCCCCCGGCUUAACUGGGGAGGGUCAUUCGAUACUGCUCGACUUGAAGGCAGGAGAGGGUAGUGGAAUUCCCGGUGUAGUGGUGAAAUGCGUAGAUAUCGGGAGGAACACCAGUGGCGAAGGCGACUACCUGGCCUGUUCUUGACGCUGAGGCGCGAAAGCUUGGGGAGCAAACGGG
rnacentral:rRNA from 1 species